CAGCAUAGAGUAGCAAUACUUUGAUGGCGACCGGCGCACGGGUGAGUAACACGUAUGCAACCUACCUACAUCAGGGGAAUAACCCGGAGAAAUUCGGACUAAUACCGCANNNNNCAGGGAUGCCGCAUGGCAAUAUUUGUUAAAGAUUUAUCGGAUGUAGAUGGGCAUGCGUUCCAUUAGCUAGUUGGUAAGGUAACGGCUUACCAAGGCAACGAUGGAUAGGGGAACUGAGAGGUUUGUCCCCCACACUGGAACUGAGACACGGACCAGACUCCUACGGGAGGCAGCAGUGAGGAAUAUUGGUCAAUGGACGAGAGUCUGAACCAGCCAAAUCGCGUGAAGGAAGACUGCCCUACGGGUUGUAAACUUCUUUUGUACAGGAAUAAAAGACAUUACGUGUAAUGUAUUGCAUGUACUGUACGAAUAAGCAUCGGCUAACUCCGUGCCAGCAGCCGCGGUAAUGCGGAGGAUGCGAGCGUUAUCCGGAUUUAUUGGGUUUAAAGGGUGCGCAGGCGGGAUUUUAAGUCAGCGGUGAAAUUUUCAGGCUCAACCUGAACACUGCCGUUGAAACUGGGAUUCUUGAGUAUGGAUGGAGUAGGCGGAAUUCGUUGUGUAGCGGUGACAUGCUUAGAUAUAACGAGGAACUCCGAUUGCGUAGGCAGCUUACUAAGCCAUAACUGACGCUCAAGCACGAAAGCGUGGGGAUCAAACAGGAUUAGAUACCCUGGUAGUCCACGCCGUAAACGAUGAUUACUAGUUGUUUGCGAUAUACCGUAAGUGACUAAGCGAAAGCGAUAAGUAAUCCACCUGGGGAGUACGCCGGCAACGGUGAAACUCAAAGGAAUUGACGGGGGCCCGCACAAGCGGAGGAACAUGUGGUUUAAUUCGAUGAUACGCGAGGAACCUUACCCGGGCUUGAAAUGUACCUGNNNGUCCUUGAANNNNGACUUCUAGCAAUAGCAGGUAUGUAGGUGCUGCAUGGUUGUCGUCAGCUCGUGCCGUGAGGUGUCGGCUUAAGUGCCAUAACGAGCGCAACCCACAUUAUUAGUUACUAACAGGUUAAGCUGAGGACUCUAAUAAGACUGCCGUCGUAAGAUGCGAGGAAGGUGUGGAUGACGUCAAAUCAGCACGGCCCUUACGUCCGGGGCGACACACGUGUUACAAUGGGAGGUACGAAGGGCUGCUACCUGGUGACAGGAUGCUAAUCCC
rnacentral:rRNA from 1 species